UGGGGAAUAGUGUAAUGGUAGCACAAGUGACUCUGAAUCACUUAGUCUAGGUUCGAGCCCUAGUUCCCCAACCA
rnacentral:tRNA from 1 species